rnacentral:rRNA from 1 species
GCGCUUACGCAAAAAGCGUAAUGUUCUUAUUUUUAAGAAAAAACCGGGCCCGAAGUUGUUCUCGGGCCUGUCGGGGACCCGGGGCCCCCGCCAUUGGUGUCCCAUUCCGUAGGUGGACUGCGAGGGAUCAUUACCGAGUUUACAACUCCCAAACCCAAUGUGAACCAUACCAAACUGUUGCCUCGGCGGGGUCACGCCCCGGGUGCGUCGCAGCCCCGGAACCAGGCGCCCGCCGGAGGGACCAACCAAACUCUUUUCUGUAGUCCCCUCGCGGACGUUAUUUCUUACAGCUCUGAGCAAAAAUUCAAAAUGAAUCAAAACUUUCAACAACGGAUCUCUUGGUUCUGGCAUCGAUGAAGAACGCAGCGAAAUGCGAUAAGUAAUGUGAAUUGCAGAAUUCAGUGAAUCAUCGAAUCUUUGAACGCACAUUGCGCCCGCCAGUAUUCUGGCGGGCAUGCCUGUCCGAGCGUCAUUUCAACCCUCGAACCCCUCCGGGGGGUCGGCGUUGGGGACCUCGGGAGCCCCUAAGACGGGAUCCCGGCCCCGAAAUACAGUGGCGGUCUCGCCGCAGCCUCUCCUGCGCAGUAGUUUGCACAACUCGCACCGGGAGCGCGGCGCGUCCACGUCCGUAAAACACCCAACUUCUGAAAUGUUGACCUCGGAUCAGGUAGGAAUACCCGCUGAACUUAAGCAUAUCAUAAAAGCGGAGGAA